rnacentral:lncRNA from 1 species
GCAGGUGAGUGUUGGGCGCGGGCGCGGUGGUGUGUGCAGGUGAGUGUUGGGUGCAGGCAUGGUGGUUGCAGGUGAGUGUUGGGUGCGGGCGUGGUGGUGUUUGCAGGUGAGUUGGGUGUAGGCGUGUGUGCAGGUGAGUGUUGGGCACGGGCGCAGUGGUGUGUGCAGGUGAGUGUUGGGCGGGGGCGUGGUGUGUGCAGGUGAGUGUUGGGCGCGGGCGUGGUGGUUGCAGGUGAGUGUUGGGCACGGGCAUGGUGGUUGCAGGUAAGUGUUGGGUGUGGGCGUGGUGGUGUGUGCAGGUGAGUGUUGGGCGCGGUGGUGUGUGCAGGUGAGUGUUGGGCGCAGGCGUGGUAGUUGCGGGUGAGUGUUGGGCACGGGCAUGGUGGUUGCAGGUAAGUGUUGGGUGUGGGCGUGGUGGUGUGUGCAGGUGAGUGUUGGGCGCGGUGGUGUGUGCAGGUGAGUGUUGGGCGCAGGCGUGGUAGUUGCGGGUGAG